rnacentral:rRNA from 1 species
CCCCGACGCGGAAUGAAAGUGAACGGAGGUGGGAGCCCCGCGAGGGGCGCACCAUCGACCGAUCCAGAUGUCUUCGGAUGGAUUUGAGUACGAGCGCGGCCGUUGGGACCCGAAAGAUGGUGAACUAUGCCUGGGUAGGGUGAAGCCAGAGGAAACUCUGGUGGAGGCUCGCAGCGGUUCUGACGUGCAAAUCGAUCGUCAAACCUGGGCAUAGGGGCGAAAGACUAAUCGAACCAUCUAGUAGCUGGUUCCUGUCGAAGUUUCCCUCAGGAUAGCAGUCGCGCGCCCGCGGUUUUAUGAGGUAAAGCGAAUGAUUAGAGGCCUUGGGGGCGCAACGCCCUUAACCUAUUCUCAAACUUUAAAUAUGUAAGAAGCCCCUGUUGCUCCGGUGAACGGGGGCGUGCGAACGCGGCGCGGCUAGUGGGCCAUUUUUGGUAAGCAGAACUGGCGAUGCGGGAUGAACCGAACGCGGGGUUAAGGUGCCGGAAUGCACGNUCAUCAGACACCACAAAAGAUGUCAAUUCAUCCGGACAGCCGGA